rnacentral:rRNA from 1 species
GCUGAAUGUGGGGAUAAUUUAUCUCCGUGUUGUAGCUAACGCGUUAAGCACUCCGCCUGGGGACUACGGUCGCAAGACUAAAACUCAAAGGAAUUGACGGGGACCCGCACAAGCGGUGGAGCAUGUGGUUUAAUUCGAUGCAACGCGAAAAACCUUACCACUCCUUGACAUGGAGAUUAGAUCCUUCUUAACGGAAGGGCGCAGUUCGGCUGGAUCUCGCACAGGUGCUGCAUGGCUGUCGUCAGCUCGUGUCGUGAGAUGUUGGGUUAAGUCCCGCAACGAGCGUAACCCUCAUCCUUAGUUGCCAGCGGGUAAUGCCGGGCACUUUAAGGAAACUGCCGGUGGUAAACUGGAGGAAGGUGGGGAUGAUGUCAAGUCAGCACGGCCCUUAUGGGGUGGGCUACACACGUGCUACAAUGGUGACUACAAUAGGUUGCAAUGUCGCAAGGCUGAGCUAAUCCGUAAAAGUCAUCUCAGUUCGGAUUGUCCUCUGCAACUCGAGGGCAUGAAGUCGGAAUCGCUAGUAAUCGUGGAUCAGCAUGCCACGGUGAAUACGUUCUCGGGUCUUGUACACACUGCCCGUCACGCCAUGGGAAUUGGCUUAACUCGAAGCUGGUGCGCUAACCGAAAGGAAGCAGCCAU